UACGUAGGAGGCAAGCGUUGUCCGGAAUUACUGGGUGUAAAGCGCGUGUAGGCGGCAGGCCAAGUCUGUGGUGAAAUCGCUCGGCUCAACUGGGCGGGGUCCAUGGAAACUGGUCAGCUGGAGGACGGUAGAGGUGAGUGGAAUUCCCGGUGUAGUGGUGAAAUGCGUAGAUAUCGGGAGGAACACCAGUGGCGAAGGCGGCUUCCUGGCCUGUUCUUGACGCUGAGGCGCGAAAGCUAGGGGAGCAAACGGGG
rnacentral:rRNA from 1 species